AGUGAACGCUGGCGGUAGGCCUAACACAUGCAAGUCGAACGGCAGCACAGGAGAGCUUGCUCUCUGGGUGGCGAGUGGCGGACGGGUGAGGAAUACAUCGGAAUCUACUCUGUCGUGGGGGAUAACGUAGGGAAACUUACGCUAAUACCGCAUACGACCUACGGGUGAAAGCAGGGGACCUUCGGGCCUUGCGCGAUUGAAUGAGCCGAUGUCGGAUUAGCUAGUUGGCGGGGUAAAGGCCCACAAAGGCGACGAUCCGUAGCUGGUCUGAGAUGGUGAUCAGCCACAAUGGAACUGAGACACGGGCCAGACUCCGCCGGGAGGCAGCAGUGGGGAAUAUUGGACAAUGGGCGCAAGCCUGGUCCAGCCAUACCGCGUGGGUGAAGAAGGCCUUCGGGUUGUAAAGCCCUUUUGUUGGGAAAGAAAUCCAGCUGGCUAAUACCCGGUUGGGAUGACGGUACCCAAAGAAUAAGCACCGGCUAACUUCGUGCCAGCCGCCGCGGUAA
rnacentral:rRNA from 1 species